UUAAGCGACUAAGCGUACACGGUGGAUGCCCUGGCAGUCAGAGGCGAUGAAGGACGUGCUAAUCUGCGAAAAGCGUCGGUAAGGUGAUAUGAACCGUUAUAACCGGCGAUGUCCGAAUGGGGAAACCCAGUGCAAUUCGUUGCACUAUCGUUAACUGAAUACAUAGGUUAACGAGGCGAACCGGGGGAACUGAAACAUCUAAGUACCCCGAGGAAAAGAAAUCAACCGAGAUUCCCCCAGUAGCGGCGAGCGAACGGGGAGCAGCCCGGAGUCUGAAUCAGCUUGUGUGUUAGUGGAAGCGUCUGGAAAGUCGCAGGGUACAGGGUGAUACUCCCGUACACUAAAACACACAGGUUGUGAACUCGAAGAGUAGGGCGGGACACGUGGUAUCCUGUCUGAAUAUGGGGGGACCAUCCUCCAAGGCUAAAUACUCCUGACUGACCGAUAGUGAACCAGUACCGUGAGGGAAAGGCGAAAAGAACCCCGGCGAGGGGAGUGAAAAAGAACCUGAAACCGUGUACGUACAAGCAGUAGGAGCCCACUAGUUGGGUGACUGCGUACCUUUUGUAUAAUGGGUCAGCGACUUAUAUUCUGUAGCAAGGUUAACCGAAUAGGGGAGCCGCAGGGAAACCGAGUCUUAACUGGGCGUUAAGUUGCAGGGUAUAGACCCGAAACCCGGUGAUCUAGCCAUGGGCAGGUUGAAGGUUGGGUAACACUAACUGGAGGACCGAACCGACUAAUGUUGAAAAAUUAGCGGAUGACUUGUGGCUGGGGGUGAAAGGCCAAUCAAACCGGGAGAUAGCUGGUUCUCCCCGAAAGCUAUUUAGGUAGCGCCUCGUGAAUUCAUCUUCGGGGGUAGAGCACUGUUUCGGCUAGGGGGUCAUCCCGACUUACCAACCCGAUGCAAACUACGAAUACCGAAGAAUGUUAUCACGGGAGACACACGGCGGGUGCUAACGUCCGUCGUGAAGAGGGAAACAACCCAGACCGCCAGCUAAGGUCCCAAAGUCAUGGUUAAGUGGGAAACGAUGUGGGAAGGCCCAGACAGCCAGGAUGUUGGCUUAGAAGCAGCCAUCAUUUAAAGAAAGCGUAAUAGCUCACUGGUCGAGUCGGCCUGCGCGGAAGAUGUAACGGGGCUAAACCAUGCACCGAAGCUGCGGCAGCGACGCUUAUGCGUUGUUGGGUAGGGGAGCGUUCUGUAAGCCGUUGAAGGUGGCCUGUGAGGGUUGCUGGAGGUAUCAGAAGUGCGAAUGCUGACAUAAGUAACGAUAAUGCGGGUGAAAAACCCGCACGCCGGAAGACCAAGGGUUCCUGUCCAACGUUAAUCGGGGCAGGGUGAGUCGACCCCUAAGGCGAGGCCGAAAGGCGUAGUCGAUGGGAAACAGGUUAAUAUUCCUGUACUUGGUGUUACUGCGAAGGGGGGACGGAGAAGGCUAUGUUGGCCGGGCGACGGUUGUCCCGGUUUAAGCAUGUAGGCGGAUGUUCCAGGUAAAUCCGGAACGUUACUAACGCUGAGGUGUGAUGACGAGGCACUACGGUGCUGAAGUGACAAAUGCCCUGCUUCCAGGAAAAGCCUCUAAGCAUCAGGUAACAUCAAAUCGUACCCCAAACCGACACAGGUGGUCAGGUAGAGAAUACCAAGGCGCUUGAGAGAACUCGGGUGAAGGAACUAGGCAAAAUGGUGCCGUAACUUCGGGAGAAGGCACGCUGAUGGUAGGUGAAGUGACUUGCUCACGGAGCUGAAAUCAGUCGAAGAUACCAGCUGGCUGCAACUGUUUAUUAAAAACACAGCACUGUGCAAACACGAAAGUGGACGUAUACGGUGUGACGCCUGCCCGGUGCCGGAAGGUUAAUUGAUGGGGUUAUCCUCACGGAGAAGCUCUUGAUCGAAGCCCCGGUAAACGGCGGCCGUAACUAUAACGGUCCUAAGGUAGCGAAAUUCCUUGUCGGGUAAGUUCCGACCUGCACGAAUGGCGUAAUGAUGGCCAGGCUGUCUCCACCCGAGACUCAGUGAAAUUGAACUCGCUGUGAAGAUGCAGUGUACCCGCGGCAAGACGGAAAGACCCCGUGAACCUUUACUAUAGCUUGACACUGAACACUGGUCCUUGAUGUGUAGGAUAGGUGGGAGGCUUUGAAGUGUGGACGCCAGUCUGCAUGGAGCCGUCCUUGAAAUACCACCCUUUAAUGGCUGGUGUUCUAACGUGGGCCCGUGAUCCGGGUUGCGGACAGUGUCUGGUGGGUAGUUUGACUGGGGCGGUCUCCUCCUAAAGAGUAACGGAGGAGCACGAAGGUCAGCUAAUCCUGGUCGGACAUCAGGAGGUUAGUGCAAUGGCAUAAGCUGGCUUGACUGCGAGCGUGACGGCGCGAGCAGGUGCGAAAGCAGGUCAUAGUGAUCCGGUGGUUCUGAAUGGAAGGGCCAUCGCUCAACGGAUAAAAGGUACUCCGGGGAUAACAGGCUGAUACCGCCCAAGAGUUCAUAUCGACGGCGGUGUUUGGCACCUCGAUGUCGGCUCAUCACAUCCUGGGGCUGAAGUAGGUCCCAAGGGUAUGGCUGUUCGCCAUUUAAAGUGGUACGCGAGCUGGGUUUAGAACGUCGUGAGACAGUUCGGUCCCUAUCUGCCGUGGGCGCUGGAGAAUUGAGGGGGGCUGCUCCUAGUACGAGAGGACCGGAGUGGACGCAUCACUGGUGUUCGGGUUGUCAUGCCAAUGGCAUUGCCCGGUAGCUAAAUGCGGAAGAGAUAAGUGCUGAAAGCAUCUAAGCACGAAACUUGCCCCGAGAUGAGUUCUCCCUGACUCCUUGAGAGUCCUGAAGGAACGUUGAAGACGACGACGUUGAUAGGCCGGGUGUGUAAGCGCAGCGAUGCGUUGAGCUAACCGGUACUAAUGAACCGUGAGGCUUAACCUU
rnacentral:rRNA from 1 species